CUAUUUUCAAAGUUAGCACCACAGGUUGUUCUGACUGUUUCAAAAGCUUGUAGUAUCUUAAUAAAUAAACAUAUAAGCUCGUGAUCAACAGGCAGAACAACUCGGUUUUGUGUGCACGCUGAUCCUA
rnacentral:pre_miRNA from 15 species